rnacentral:lncRNA from 1 species
UGUAUUAUCUCAGUCUGUGCAAAAAGCAGCAUAGGGAGGCAGAGCCCCCAGCACGGCGCCUUAGGCCGAGUUCAUUUAGGGUGGUUUCCUCAUCAGCGUGACUUUGCUUCUGCGUUCAGCAAAGGGCGGGGAAUUAAGCUAAAGGCAUAUUUAUCAGUGAGUGUGGUGCCUGGUUAUAGAAAUAUGUGAUUACAUACAUAUCAUGUUCUCAUGUUCUCGAGCUAAUGACAUUUGGGCUUUUUCUUCUUAAAGCGCAUGCUUUGUAGUUUGUAUUUGACUGUAUUUAAACCUUUGGCUCAGUUGGUUAAGAAAAUGUCCAUUUUGAACACGCACUUUGCUCCCCACUCCGCUCUGACACUCGACUCUCCCCAGCGUUCCAAGGUUUCUUCCUUGUACAGCACAUUCUAAUGGCAGAGGUGAUUGGCAACUGUAAAAUCCAGAAAACCAAAACAAAAAAACCUGAGGUGAGGUGAAAGAAGGUUAUAACAAACGCCCCUUCAGAAAUACCUUAAUGCCAAGAAUUUUCAAUGCCAAACAGCACACGGCUCCUCAAAGUAAAACCCGAGUGGUGUUCUCAGUAGUAACAUUCGAAGGAGAAAUGCUCUGCUUUGAAGCGAGCAGCAGACGAGCUUGCAUCCCCAUGCUGGCUGGAAGCAUCCUAACAAGAGCGCAGUGUCACCCUAGGCUUAGCGUGUCCUUUACACAGAAGCACAUGGUCCCAAAGGGACGUGUCUAGCCAUGAACAGGAUGAGCAGGAGCCUGCUCUUUCCAUACGAUAAAGGCACUCUAUUUCUUUGUUUUCCAGGGGUGCAUAAUAAUACUACUAGAUUCUAAUCUGUGUGUAGGAAAAACCACACAUAGGAAAUAGGAACGAUAAAUUAAUUAUCCUUCUUAGACACAAGUACUCUCUGAAGGGGUCUUUCUGUUACAUGUAGCCUCCCCCAGCACACCCACUUCCUUUCCUUUGUAUUGUUCUCUAUUACACUGGCUAGGGAAAUAAAUUCAGGUACCACUUACUAUGAAGGCCAGGCCACCCAGAGACACUCGAAGAAGACUAAUAUAGCGGCUAAAACUUAUUUAAACUAUAAACGGCAUAUAAAAAUUACAACUAGAUAAAGUUAAGACAAAAGUCCUUAUCAAUCUAACUCAGAAAUUGGUGUCAUUCAUUUGACAAUGGAAGUUAAAUACUCUUGGUGGGCUUUUCUAUACAGAAGCUAUAACCUCAGGUGGGUACGGUAGCUCAUGUCAUAAUCCUGGCUCUCGGAGGCUGAGGCAGGACAGUAGUGGGUUUAGUAUUAGCUAUGUUGCAAGACUAUGUAUGAGCAACGUUGCAAGACUCUGUCCCAAGAAAGGACUAGAUACGUGAGGUACGACGGGCCUCUAACCCUUGAUGAGGACCGAAAAGUAGAAUCCAAAGUGGAAAGUGUGCUACAGCUUUAUCUGGGGAGAAAGAACAGUGGAAUGUUCUGGGUAUGUCUGCUGUGCAGUCCCAGGUAGACUAUGGAAUCUCUGAACCUGCCAGCCCUUCGCUACCCUGACAGGGAUGCUAAUGUACUUCAAAGAUAAAGGUUCAGAAGUAUGUAACCAUGUAGCAUAGCACCGGGCCAUGGCAGGGCCCAGGUAGCACCAGCUAUGGUUAACCGCCAAGUUAAGGAGACACUGAGAAGUGUGUUCUGUAACCUGGACCACUAAACUAUCUAUUGCAAAUGACACUUGCUCGGAAGUAUGAAGUUAAAAGUAGAUGGCUUUCAGGAAAAAUAAAGAGAGAAAUUCUUAGAAUGUAAACUACACAAACAGUUUAAUUCAGUUGCCUUGGAACCUACGUGCCAUGCCGGAUCCACAUGCGCUGGGUGUUUACAGACAGGAAAAGGCUGCGGAAGAAGACAGCCCACCCCGCAACCCCCAUCCCGCUGAAAGUUGGAAUCCUCGGCGCAUGCGUACUCAGCACAUGUAGUCAGGCUGCUCAAACAGAAAGUCUUAGAUGGAGCAGAAAGGAUGCCUAGCAACUCCUGAUUUCCCAGCAUGCUGUGGGCACCUGAAGGAGACAGUGGGAGGUGAGGGAGCCUCUUGCACUCCUGCCCAGGCAAAAAUAAAGCCUCGUGUUCAACAAGCCUUCGCUGGGACCCACUGUCUACCGAGUUCUAGAGGACAGCUAGAUGAUAGACAGCCUUUGCACUCGUGGAGCGUGCAUGCUAGUGAGCAUCACAGAACGGUAAGAUUCGCUAAGUGCGUGCUGGAAAUUGAAGCAAGCAAGGAAGAUGGGAGCUAGAGGGAGAAGUCUCAAAGUGUGCUCAGGAAAGGCCCGCUGUUACAUGGUGAUGUAAUGUUUACACAGAGCCCAAGAAGGUGAAGGGACCUCUGAGAGGCCAGUUCUGCCCUAUAUGUAAGAACAUAAACCUCACCACCCACUAAGCAAGAGUUGGUUUAGAACAGAUAGAUGGCAUGGAAAUAAUGUAUUUCCUAAAUUAAUACCUAAUUCAUAUUCUAUAUAAAAUUUUUAGUGCAUUAAAAAUUGUCCCCAUCUCCUAACUGCUGCCGCUUUCUCUACCAACAUUGCAGCUAUGCUCAGCUCAGUCCUCAGUUAUGAAGAAACCACAGGACUUAGGAUAGAGCAGGAGCCUUGGGGAAAAGCUUCCAACUGCUCCAUCUAGAACCAGAGAAUAUGCCAUUGGCCAUUUUACUUCUGCUCCAAUUAGUGUUCAUCUUGUGGCUUUAAAAUGUACAAAUAUACCAGAAACCCGACUCAAAUAAACAGGACCCCAUAGAGUUCUCACACCUCCUGUAAAAAUUCCUAUAGAGCUUUAGAGUCAGUUAAUUUUGUAAGAAAUGUCUAUUAGCUACAUGAAGAAUUUCUCACGAAGCCAAUGUCGAAGGUUUAACUCACUUCUUAGAUCAGUUUUUGAAAUGACCAAUUAAUUUAUCAGUGUUAGAUUUUAUUCCAGUGACCUGACUUACAAAGGAACACAAUUCAAAAGUUAAAGAAAUCCUGAAAAGAAGUGAAGGUUCAGAAUGAGAAUUAGAACUAUUGAUUGUGGUACUAAGUGUCAGUCAGACACCUUAAAACACUGCCUCUGACAUUUCUUUACUCGUAAAGCUAAUGUAUAGAAUUUGGGGGCAUCCAUAGUGGUUCUCAGCUGAGAAGUAAUGUGACCUUGGCCAGCCAGCAUUUACUGUAGACUGGUGGCAUCCUGCUUGCCAGGGGCAGCCCCCUCUUGCAAAGGUUUCCAUGCACAAUCUCCGUACAGUUGUCCUGUCCCCACUGUGCUGCUCGUUAAACCUGACACAUCUGCGAUUCCAACUCUAGUUUUUUUUUUUCCCCCAAACAAAAUCACCCACGCCUUCUUAGAACAAUAAGGACGCCUUCUGCAUGUCCGGAGGCUGCAGCUUUUUCUCAAAUCACUGAUGGUGGAAACGAUUAUUUUCCUUCCCCCACUUAAGGUUGGUAGCAGAAACACUACGACAUUAUUGUAUCUGCUGGGGGAGGGGCGCUGCCCCAGCAUGGUGACUCCACAGUAGUACAACCCUGGUGGACUUGCUGUCAUGCUGAAGUCAUGUAAAGGGCAUUUUUCCUAACUUUUUUUUUUAAGCAAAAUCACAUUUUAAUGGUUCACAAUUAGCCAAUGGGAUGUGGUGGCAGACACCUGGCACACUGCUUUUGAUGCUCUGAAAAUACUGUUUGUGUUUUUUAACCAGUGCCUCUUUUUUAUUAAUAUGCAGUGAGUUUGUUAGACUCUGAACACCAGCUGAGGUAUUCACGCUUGAUCCCCAUUGAAAUCAAAGGGACUAAGGGAAGGGGUGGCAUCUAGGAGAGACUCAGACCCAUUUCCCAUCCAGUUACCAUGCAUGUAUAUGACUUUAGUUUCCAUUAGCAUGCCAAGAACUUCAUGAAAGAUGGUCUUAAAAACCUAGCCUGAGUUAAAUAUUGAUACUUUAAGAACAUUUUUCUGUCACACUAGACUUGGAGAGCCUUGUGAAGCCAGUCGAGCCUCACUGUACCACAGCACACAGUAAGGCGUAAUUCUAUAAUCAGGCACCUCCUGCUGCUUUCGAGUAAGACCCGUUUUCCUGUGUAGACUAACACUGCAGCAGAGGCUCAACCCUGCUGGACGUGACGCAGCCUGGCUGCUGUCAGCACAGCAUUCUGUGGUUGAAAAAUGAGUGUCUAUCAGGGAAUCCUGGACAGGCCAUGUUUUCUCAGACCCCAACUUUGUGGGCACUCUGUUGCUUGUGUGAGGAACUUUCUGGCAUGUGGAUAAUUAUUGCCAACUAGAGUUCAGGCACCCAUGCAACUGUUUUGUAGCGUGUGCAGAACACCCUUAGUUCCGACACGACACAUUGCUUCUGCACCCUGAAAACCUGCUAUCGGAAAAGUUUCUAUCCUUGGAGUGUGAGCUUUCAGUAGGAGGCCUCAUCACUGUGUUUGCAUAACAAUCUUCUCGCCUCCACUCCGUUGCAAUGUUAUUCUGAGCAAGUCUUAUGCCAAAUGCCAUGUACAAUGUCUGUAUGGAAGAUUAAACUGUGCUCUGGUGUGGUAAGGCCGUUUAGUUGCCGACUUCGUAGUUGGAAGCUGAUAUUCCAGCACCGAGUCCACGAUGUAUUCAGAAAUCCAAGUUGGCGUCGCACGUUUCAUUCUGAUGUGAACUUUUCUCCGCUUUCUUUUGUUCUAAGACUCCAUUUUGCAAUAAACGUUUUGACAGUAAA